AGCGAACGCUGGCGGCAGGCCUAACACAUGCAAGUCGAACGGACCUUUCGGGAUUAGUGGCGGACGGGUGAGUAACACGUGGGAACGUGCCUUUAGGUUCGGAAUAGCUCCUGGAAACGGGUGGUAAUGCCGAAUGUGCCCUUAGGGGGAAAGAUUUGAUCGCCUUUAGAGCGGCCCGCGUCUGAUUAGCUAGUUGGUGAGGUAAUGGCUCACCAAGGCUACGAUCAGUAGCUGGUCUGAGAGGAUGACCAGCCACAUUGGGACUGAGACACGGCCCAAACUCCUACGGGAGGCAGCAGUGGGGAAUCUUGCGCAAUGGGCGAAAGCCUGACGCAGCCAUGCCGCGUGGAUGAUGAAGGUCUUAGGAUUGUAAAAUCCUUUCACCGGUGAAGAUAAUGACUGUAGCCGGAGAAGAAGCCCCGGCUAACUUCGUGCCAGCAGCCGCCGUAA
rnacentral:rRNA from 1 species